AAGGGGUGUUGUUCCAAGGGUCCAGCCACCCUUUGCUUCUUCCCUCGUCUUCAAGGUGCAGCUGGUCAGUUGCUUGGAGUCAUCCGAUCUUCACCAGAAGAGUGAGUGAUGGAGAGGAGUAUGCUGGUAAUAGAUUGAGUUUUGGCCAGCACUGUAGGCCAGUGAACCAUCGGAGAAGAGAUUGUUGACAUGGAAUUAAGUUAGAAGGUGAUGGAGAUGUGGGCAGCAGUAAGCAUCACACCCGUGAUUUUCAACAGUGGGUUGUUUCGUUCACAAGGAGCACUUCGAAUGAGGAUCCGAGUUGGAUGUGAUCUUCUGGAGUUGUUGAAGACGGUUGACACGCACUACGUAUAAAGGCGGGUA